rnacentral:rRNA from 1 species
GACGAACGCUGGCGGCGUGCUUAACACAUGCAAGUCGAACGCACCUUCGGGUGAGUGGCGGACGGGUGAGUAACGCGUAGGUAAUCUACUCUUCAGUGGGGGAUACCCAGCCGAAAGGUUGGUUAAUACCGCAUACGCUCCUGUGCAGAGAGGUACAGGAGGAAAGGUUUACUGCUGAGGAAUGAGCCUGCGUCCGAUUAGCUAGUUGGUGGGGUAAAGGCUCACCAAGGCGACGAUCGGUAGCUGGUCUGAGAGGACGAUCAGCCACACUGGAACUGAGACACGGUCCAGACUCCUACGGGAGGCAGCAGUGGGGAAUUUCCGCAAUGGGCGAAAGCCUGACGGAGCAACGCCGCGUGGGUGAUGAAGUUUUUCGGAACGUAAAAACCCUUUCGCCAGGGACGAAGCGAGUGACGGUACCUGGAGAAGAAGCAUCGGCUAACUACGUGCCAGCAGCCGCGGUAAU